GCCGGCAGCCAUAUCACCCUGUAGCCCAAGACUGGUUGCCCACUGAAGCUAAGCAGGGCUGAGCUGGUCAGUACCUGGAUGGGAGAUCUCCUGGGAAAACUAGGUUGCUGUUGGAA
rnacentral:rRNA from 1 species